rnacentral:rRNA from 1 species
CCUACGGGGGGCAGCAGUGGGGGAUAUUGCACAAUGGGGGAAACCCUGAUGCAGCGACGCCGCGUGUGGGAAGACGGUCCUCUGGAUUGUAAACCACUGUCCCCAGGGACGAAGAUGACGGUACCUGGGGAGGAAGCUCCGGCUAACUACGUGCCAGCAGCCGCGGUACUACGUAGGGAGCGAGCGUUGUCCGGAAUUACUGGGUGUAAAGGGAGCGUAGGCGGGACUGCAAGUUGGGUGUCAAAUCUACCGGCUCAACCGGUAGCCGCACUCAAAACUGCAGUUCUUGAGUGAAGUAGAGGCAGGCGGAAUGCCUAGUGUAGCGGUGAAAUGCGUAGAUAUUAGGAGGAACACCAGUGGCGAAGGCGGCCUGCUGGGCUUUUACUGACGCUGAGGCUCGAAAGUGUGGGGAGCAAACAGGAUUAGAUACCCCUGUAGUC